UACGAACUUCCGGUUGUCCCGGCAGGCCGCCGCUGCCGAAGCCACCCGGCGCAGUCUCAGCCACCGGCUCUCCGCCGGAGAGUCGGCUCUGCGGUUCCAGCGCGCCCAUGGUCGGCGCUGCGGACCGGGAGGCCGGCCCGGCGGCUGGGACGUGCUGAGAGGCCGGCGUGGAGACCAUGCCGACCCCGCGCGGCUGCUCCGGGCCUUGCCACUUCCUGGCUCCGGCCUUCGUGCUGCUGUUGCUGCCCGCGCUGAGCAGGUCCGGGCCGGUACAGUCGACGGUGCAGGAGUCCAAGCCUCUCGAGCCCCGGCCGCGCACGCUGUCACCGCUGCCUCCCGGCCCUACCGCGGCCCAGCCGCGUGGCCAAGCUCAGGCUGAAGCCGCCCAGUCGCCAGGCGCGGAGAACCACAAUGGCAGCAUCCCCGGGGCGGGGUCUGAGGCGGACGGCCUUGAAGGCAAGGCCGGAGAAGGCUCCCUGGGUGGCAGCCUGGCUGUGAGUCCCAAUCCUAGCGACAGGCCCAUGACCCAGCGGGCCCUGACCGUGUUGAUGGUGGUGAGCGCCGCGGUGCUGGUGUACUUCGUGGUCAGGACCGUCAGGAUGAGAAGAAGAAACCGCAAAACUAGGAGAUACGGUGUUUUGGAUACUAACAUAGAGAACAUGGAAUUGACACCUUUAGAACAAGAUGAUGAGGAUGAUGACAACACAUUGUUUGAUGCCAGUCAUCCUAGAAGGUGACUCCGGUGACUUGUAAGUGGUUCACUACUACAUCUAAGAAAGAACCUAAGAUGAGUAUGUGCCUUUAAUGAGAAGACUUCAUCUUUCUACUGAAGAAAAGAGUUUCUAUGUCUAAGGAAUAAGAAGCCACUCUAUCAAGGGAAGGGGAAUUUAAGUUAUAUAUAUUAUGUCAACCUUUAAUUUGUUGUUACUCAAUAAAUAUUGCACCAUUUUGUUAUAUCUUUGUAUGUUUGGAACUGCUGUAUUUAUUAGUGGACUCCAUGUUGUUGGGGACAGACUAUACUGUGCUGGAUUUUCUGUUUGAAAAUUAUUUUUAAAAAUGUUUUCUGCAGAGCUUUUGUCCCUUCCUUUUACCAUGUUAUUGUAACUUGUUUUUUUUUUAUUAAUCAGUUGUCAUUGCUUUCAUUCUGUCAGUGUCAUAAUUUAAAGAACUAUAAGCCACAACUAACUGGUAUGAAUAAAUAAAAUUCUACUAAACUUUUUCCCAUUUUUGCGGGGAAAAAGCCAAUCUAUUCUGUUGUUUUUGAGUUUGUAAAUAGUAAUAAUUGUGCUAAACUAUGUAAAAGAAUAAAUAUGAUUUAAACAUUUUAAGUGGUACAGACAGAAUGUGUUUACAAAAUAAAUACUGCAUAAUUAUA